UACGAAGGGGGCGAGCGUUGUUCGGAUUUACUGGGCGUAAAGGGCGCGUAGGCGGCCCACUAAGUCCGACGUGAAAUCCCCAGGCUUAACUUGGGAACUGCGUCGGAUACUGGUGGGCUUGAAUCCGGGAGAGGGAUGCGGAAUUCCAGGUGUAGCGGUGAAAUGCGUAGAUAUCUGGAGGAACACCGGUGGCGAAGGCGGCAUCCUGGACCGGUAUUGACGCUCAUGCACGAAAGCGUGGGGAGCAAACAGG
rnacentral:rRNA from 1 species